CAUAUCCAGAACACCAUCUGAUUACAAAUGUGCUAUCUGGGUUAGAUAUUGAGUAUAUCACCAUUGUGUCCAUUAUUGAGGCUUGUUCAUCUGUUACAUGGUAGGAAUUGCAAGACAUCCUUCUGAGCUUCGAUA